rnacentral:piRNA from 1 species
GGAGAACAAUCCAUUUAUAU